GAAAAUUCUUAAUGAACACAUAACAAGCAAAAACUUUCACCGGAAAAUUGUAGAGGAAUCGGAAAAAAUGGGUGAUGUAGCCGAUAAGAUAGCAUAUUUUCAAGCGAUCACCGGGGUGGAAGACACCGAUUUGUGCACUGAGAUCCUCGCCGCCCAUGGCUGGGAUCUCGAACUGGCGAUCUCUGUUUUUACCUCGCAAAAUCACCAUCCUGCUACUGAGUAUGCAUCCGAACCCACCACCUCCGAUACACCACCAACGAGCACGAAUCAACCACCGGCAGAAACUGGGCUCGUUGCCGGUGGCAGCGGCGGACCGCCGGGAUUAGCUUGGAAGAUUAUUACUCUCCCCUUCUCCAUCAUUUCUGGCAGUCUAGGAUUGAUUUCAGGUGCUGUGGGGUUGGGUGUAUGGGCGGCAGGUGGUGUACUUUCGUAUUCGUUGAGAAUGAUCGGUUUCAAUUUGGGGCGAAAUAGUGAAUCCUCUUCACCUUUGGUAUCUGUAACUGCAUCAGCAGCGGAGGCAAUGAGUUUCGUGGAUAGUUUUGAUAGGGAUUUUGGGAGUAUUAGGCCGAGUUUUAUUGCUGAAGGUUUUAUGGAUGCUUUGCAGAGGUCUAGGCAUGAGUUCAAGCUGUUUUUUGUGUAUUUACAUUCGCCUGAGCAUCCAGAUACCCCUGUGUUUUGUGAAAGGACUUUGUGUAAUGAAGCAUUGGUAGCAUUUAUCAAUGAGAAUUUUGUUGCUUGGGGCGGGAGUAUUAGAGCUAGUGAGGGUUUCAAGAUGAGUAAUAGCUUGAAGGCAUCAAGGUUUCCUUUUUGUGCUGUUGUAAUGGCUGCGACAAACCAAAGGAUUGCUCUGCUUCAGCAGGUUGAGGGGCCAAAAUCUCCUGAUGAACUGCUUACUGCACUUCAAAGGGUGCUCGAGGAAAGUGCACCUGUGCUUGUUUCUGCCAGGCUUGAAGCAGAAGAAAGGAGAAAUAAUAUUAGACUAAGAGAGGAGCAGGAUGCUGCUUAUCGUGCUGCACUA
rnacentral:misc_RNA from 1 species